AGAGUUUGAUCCUGGCUCAGGAUGAACGCUGACAGAAUGCUUAACACAUGCAAGUCGAUGGGGAAGUGGUGCUUGCACCAUGGUAACCAUGGCGGACGGGUGAGUAACGCGUAAGGAACUUGCCUGCGGGACUGGGAUAACAGCAGGAAACUGCUGAUAAUACCGGAUAAGGUCAUUAAGCUGCAUAGCUUAGUGAUGAAAGGAGACGCCUGCGGAGAGCCUUGCGUCCUAUUAGCUAGUUGGAGGGGUAACGGCCCACCAAGGCGAUGAUAGGUAGCCGGCCUGAGAGGGUGGACGGCCACAAGGGGACUGAGAUACGGCCCUUACUCCUACGGGAGGCAGCAGUGGGGAAUAUUGGACAAUGGGGGCAACCCUGAUCCAGCAAUUCUGUGUGCACGAAGACGGUUUUCGGAUUGUAAAGUGCUUUCAGCAGGGAAGAAGGAAGUGACGGUACCUGCAGAAGAAGCGACGGCUAAAUACGUGCCAGCAGCCGCGGUAAUACGUAUGUCGCGAGCGUUAUCCGGAAUUAUUGGGCAUAAAGGGCAUCUAGGCGGCCUUUCAAGUCAGGGGUGAAAACCUGCGGCUCAACCGCAGGCCUGCCUUUGAAACUGAUAGGCUGGAGUACCGGAGAGGUGGACGGAACUGCACGAGUAGAGGUGAAAUUCGUAGAUAUGUGCAGGAAUGCCGAUGAUGAAGAUAGUUCACUGGACGGUAACUGACGCUGAAGUGCGAAAGCCGGGGGAGCGAACAGGAUUAGAUACCCUGGUAGUCCUAGCUGUAAACGAUGAUUACUGGGUGUGGGCAUGAAGAGUGUCCGUGCCGAAGCUAAUGCGAUAAGUAAUCCGCCUGGGGAGUACGGCCGCAAGGCUGAAACUCAAAGGAAUUGACGGGGACCC
rnacentral:rRNA from 1 species